GUGAUAUUUCUAUUCAAGGUUAUCAUAACAUCAGAAUCUUAUACUGGCCCAUGCCUACUGUCAGUAUCAACAACAUACUGAUUCAUGACCUCAGAACCUAGAGAGCUGAUUGAGAUGCACCCCUUGCCUUCUUGAAGCAAACACUGUUUUGUAAAUAUUUAUUCUCAUCACAUUCCACAGUCACACCUCAUUCUCGAGCUGUCAGGUAGGUUGGAUUCUAUCAUCUUAGUCAUUUUUAUUUGGUCGAUUUGAAAUCCCCUUGUAAGAGUAAUGAAAUUAAUUUCUGAUUUUCAUGCAAGUUCGGGUGACACAUUGGAGAGGUUUAGACAUUCCAGACCUGGGAUGACAGUGAGUAGACUUCUCUGCUAUAUUUUAGUAUAUAGUUUGUUUAGUUAAAUGUGACCAGUUAUCAAGACAAGUGUUUAUAACCCUGUUUUACAUCUCAUUUGGUCUAGACACCAACAGGGUCAUCCAUCUCUAUUUCUACCGUGAGCUCAGUACCAGACCGCAGUUUCAGUAAGUGAUAUAUUAUCAUACUACUAAUCAUAUCACUCAAAUAUCAUUAUAGGUGUUUGUAAAGUAAAAGGAGUCCACUCAAGGUGGGGAAUAUUGUUCAGACUUAUCGUGUGUUUAUGUUCUCUUUUUAUCUUAAAGGGACACCCAGCUCAGUUAACACUCCCACAAGAUCGCAACAUACAACUCCAAACAACUUUCAUUUCCAGCUUCUGGCUAGACCCUACCUCCAGUCUCCAAGACCAUAACUAGUAGUCACAUGGAUUAUCAUUAUAAUCUUCCAAGUUAUUGGAAAGGCGUUUAUCAGUUGUACUUUACAUAAAAUCCAUUGCAGUGGGUAAAGUAUUUGGCCUUUUUUGUAUCUGAAAAUAUCAUCUAAAUGUUUUACUUGUUUUUGAAUUAGCAUAUUGCAAGGAUUAAAAUGACACAUAUGGACAAAAUAUAACUUGCUUUUAUUUUACAUUGUAAUUGAAAUCGCAUUUAACUGAGGAAAAACAAUAAAUGUGUUAAUAAGAAAUGUCAGUUUUUGCACGCUGGCUCAGUUAGAACAAGGAUAUAAACAAUAAACAAAUAAGUCUAAUAAAUGAUAUAUUUUUAAAUAUAAUAAUUAUAUUAUUAUUAUAGAUAUUAGUUUGGUCCCUUUUAAAGUAUGAGUUGGUCACAGUACUGAGGCAUAAUUCUAUAAACUUACAAUUUGUUAUACCAGAAGAAACAUAGAACAUAUAAUCAAUAUGCUUGUGUUUGUGUUGUUAAAAGAAAUGCUAAUUUUAGAAAUUGUAAUCUAAUUAAAUUCUUAGCUUAAUACUGAAUAGCCCAAAUAAGGGGUGUCCAAACUCGGUCCUGGAGGGCAGGUGUCCUGCAAAGUUUUUUUCCAACCCCAAUUAGAGACACCUGGUCUAGCUCAUCAAGCUCUUAUUGUGCUUUCUAAAAACAUCCAUGCAGGUGUGUUGAGGCAAAUUGGAGCUAAAAUCUGCAGGACCAAGUUUGAACAUCCCUGCCCUAAAUGAUUUAGAGUUCAAGUCAUAUCAUACACCAUUUUCCUAAUGGAGUGUGGUUCAUUUGGCACAUUUAAUCAUUGUUAAGAGGUUAACCAGACAAAUGCAACAGUGGGUCAAACUUAAUUAGUCAUUUUAUUCCAAUGCAUUGUUUCGACUGCCUGAAAUUUGCAGACAAUAAGGCACAAGAUUUUACAAAAACCAUGGCUUUUGUUGUCUUUUCCCUGGAUACUGAGCAGAUCUGUAGUGGAGGAGGGAUGUCUUCGAAUUGAAAUGCUUUUUCAUUAUGAAGUAGCAGAAUUAGAGAAAUUGAUCCAUAUAACUCCUAAGUGCGGAAUAAUAAAGAAAGAUAAUGGGGCAGGUUUUACAUAUCCUAAAUUAAGGUUAAUUAUUUUGAGAGAUUAUCAAUAUACAGUGCCAUAUGAAUCUUCUAAGAUU